rnacentral:rRNA from 1 species
UACGGAGGGUGCAAACGUUGCUCGGAAUCACUGGGCGUAAAGCGCACGUAGGCGGAUUGCUAAGUCAGGGGUGAAAUCCUGGAGCUCAACUCCAGAACUGCCUUUGAUACUGGCGAUCUCGAGUCCGGGAGAGGUGAGUGGAACUGCGAGUGUAGAGGUGAAAUUCGUAGAUAUUCGCAAGAACACCAGUGGCGAAGGCGGCUCACUGGCCCGGUACUGACGCUGAGGUGCGAAAGCGUGGGGAGCAAACAGG